rnacentral:rRNA from 1 species
UACGUAGGGUGCAAGCGUUAAUCGGAAUUACUGGGCGUAAAGCGUGCGCAGGCGGUGAUGUAAGACAGGUGUGAAAUCCCCGGGCUUAACCUGGGAACUGCAUUUGUGACUGCAUCGCUGGAGUGCGGCAGAGGGGGAUGGAAUUCCGCGUGUAGCAGUGAAAUGCGUAGAGAUCGGAAAGAACACCAACGGCGAAAGCACUCUGCUGGGCCGACACUGACACUGAGAGACGAAAGCUAGGGGAGCGAAUGGG